rnacentral:rRNA from 1 species
GUUGUAUAGUCAAGUAAUUAAGUGCAUGUGGUGGAUGCCUUGGCAGUCAGAGGCGAUGAAAGACGUGAUAGCCUGCGAAAAGCUCCGGGGAGGCGGCAAAUAUCCUGUGAUCCGGAGAUGUCUGAAUGGGGAAACCCACUUACCAUAAGGUAGGUAUU